rnacentral:rRNA from 1 species
UACGUAGGCAGCAAACGUUGUUCGGAGUUACUGGGCGUAAAGAGUACGUAGGCGGUUUGCCAAGUUUGGUGUGAAAUCUCCUGGCUUAACUGGGAGGGUGCGCCGAAUACUGGCGGGCUCGAGUAUUGGAGAGGGGAGCGGAAUUCCUGGUGUAGCGGUGAAAUGCGUAGAUAUCAGGAGGAACACCGGUGGUGUAGACGGCUCCCUGGACAAUCACUGACGCUGAGGUACGAAAGCGUGGGUAGCAAACAGG